rnacentral:rRNA from 1 species
AGCCACAGCCAUAUCACCCUGCAGCCCAAGACUGGUUGCCCACUGAAGCUCAGUAGGGUUGAGCCUGGUUAGUACCUGGAUGGGAGACCUCCUGGGAAAACUAGGUUGCUGUUGGAA